UCCGAUGUAGUGUAGGGGUUAUCACUGUGCUCUUUCAAGUUCCUCUUUGGGACAUUGAACAGCACUAACGGGGGUUCGAAUCCCCCCAUCGGAG
rfam:Penicillium camemberti str. FM013